rnacentral:rRNA from 1 species
UCGAAUCGCAUGGCCUUGAGUCGGCGAUAAAUCAUUCAAAUUUCUGCCCUAUCAACUUUUGAUGGUAGUAUAUAGGACUACCAUGGUGAUAACGGGUAACGGAGGAUUAGGGUUUGAUUCCGGAGAGGGAGCCUGAGAAACGGCUACCACAUCCAAGGAAGGCAGCAGGCGCGCAAAUUACCCAAUCUCGACACGAGGAGGUAGUGACAAUAAAUAACAAUGCAGGGCUUUUUAAGUCUUGCAAUUGGAAUGAGUACAAUUUAAAAUCAUUAACGAGGAACAAUUGGAGGGCAAGUCUGGUGCCAGCAGCCGCGGUAAUUCCAGCUCCAAUAGCGUAUAUUUAUGUUGUUGCAGUUAAAAAGCUCGUAGUUGGAUUUCGGAACGGAACAACUGGUCUGCCACUUUGUGGUAUGUACCGGUUUGUCUGUUCUUUUGUUUGAGGAAAUUUCUUGUUUUUAAUUGAAUGGGGAAUGAACUCAAACCGUUUACUUUGAAAAAAUUAGAGUGUUUAAAGCAGGCUUAUGCCUUGAAUACAUUAGCAUGGAAUAAUAAAAUAGGACUUUGGUUCUAUUUUGUUGGUUUCUAGGACUAAAGUAAUGAUUAAUAGGGGCAGUUGGGGGCAUUAAUAUUUAAUUGUCAGAGGUGAAAUUCUUGGAUUUAUGAAAGAUUAACUUCUGCGAAAGCAUUUGCCAAGGAUGUUUUCAUUAAUCAAGAACGAAAGUUUGGGGAUCGAAGAGGAUUAGAUACCCUCGUAGUCCAGACCAUAAAAAUGCCGACUAGGGAUUGGUGAAUGUUAUUUUUAUGACUUCAUCAGCAUCUUCCGAGAAAUCAAAGUUUUUGGGUUCUGGGGGGAGUAUGGUCGCAAGGCUGAAACUUAAAGGAAUUGACGGAAGGGCACCACCAGGAGUGGAGCCUGCGGCUUAAUUUGACUA